GACGAACGCUGGCGGCGUGCCUAAUACAUGCAAGUCGAGCGGACCUCUUCGGAGGUCAGCGGCGGACGGGUGAGUAACACGUGGGCAACCUGCCUGUAAGACUGGGAUAACACCGGGAAACCGGUGCUAAUACCGGAUAAUCCUUUUCCUCACAUGAGGGGAAGCUGAAAGACGGCAUCUCGCUGUCACUUACAGAUGGGCCCGCGGCGCAUUAGCUAGUUGGUGGGGUAACGGCACACCAAGGCGACGAUGCGUAGCCGACCUGAGAGGGUGAUCGGCCACACUGGGACUGAGACACGGCCCAGACUCCUACGGGAGGCAGCAGUAGGGAAUCUUCCGCAAUGGACGAAAGUCUGACGGAGCAACGCCGCGUGAGCGAAGAAGGCCUUCGGGUCGUAAAGCUCUGUUGUCAGGGAAGAACACGUACCGGAGUAACUGCCGGUACCUUGACGGUACCUGACCAGAAAGCCACGGCUAACUACGUGCCAGCAGCCGCCGUAAGAC
rnacentral:rRNA from 1 species